AUUGUUAGUGGCAGACGGGUGAGUAAUGCGUAGGAAUCUACCUAGUAGUAUGGAAUAGCCAUUAGAAAUGAUGGGUAAUACUGUAUAAUCCCUGCGGGGGAAAGAUUUAUCGCUAUUAGAUGAGCCUACGUUAGAUUAGCUAGUUGGUAAGGUAAUGGCUUACCAAGGCUAUGAUCUAUAGCUGGUCUGAGAGGACGAUCAGCCACACUGGAACUGAGAUACGGUCCAGACUCCUACGGGAGGCAGCAGUGGGGAAUAUUGGACAAUGGGCGAAAGCCUGAUCCAGCUAUGCCGCGUGAGUGAAGAAGGCCUUCGGGUUGUAAAACUCUUUCAAUAGGGAAGAUAAUGA
rnacentral:rRNA from 1 species